AGGACAAAACCCAGAGUAGACCAUCUUAAAUUCAUGAUUGCCUUCUUUGGUUGUGCAAGCUGUAGCCCAGUUUAAUAGUGCCUUAUAAUUUUACCUGGCAGUUAUAUGAAACAACCCAGGAACACAAAGGAACAAUAUUGACCCUUCAGGAGAAGUUGGAAGCUCUAGAAAGGAAUUCCACUGAUCACCAGAAGAUUUUAGAUGAAGCUAAUGGCAAGCAUAAAAUGGUUCUUGAUAAACUUAAUGAGGAGAGAGCCUUGUUAGAGGCUAAACUUCAUAAGACAGAAGAAGAAUUAAAAGUAGCAAGUUUCAAGGCUGAGAAAGGCCACCAACAACUGAAGCUCUUACACAAGGAAAUGACUUCAAGAUAUGGUACGAGAGUGCA
rnacentral:lncRNA from 1 species